AUGUCCAGACUAAGCCAUGCACGUCUAGUACAAACUAAAUGAUGGUGAAACUGCAAAUGGCUCAUUACAACGGUUAUGAUGUACCCGGGAGUUCCGAUGGAUAUUUCCAGUAACACUAGAACUAAUACAUGUCCCUGCGUUUAUUAGUUUCGCACAGUCCGUCGCUGAGUCAUGGUAAACAGUUGAUCGACUCGACGUCCCGGAACAGUUUCCGCCCCAUCAGCUUCGAUGGUUGGGUAUUGGCCUACCAUUGCAACAACGGGUAACGAGGAAUUAGGGUUUGAUUUCGGAGAGGGAGCCUGAGAAACGGCUACCACAUCUACGGAUGGCAGCAGGCGCGCAAAUUACCCAAUGCAGACACUGUGAGGUAGUGACGAGAAAUAAUAAAGCGGGACUUCUGUUUCGCUAUUAUAAUGAGGAAUAACCAAAGGUCAUUCCGAUUAGCAACUGAUGGGAAAGUCUGGUGCCAGCAGCCGCGGUAAUACCAGCGUCAGUAGCAU
rnacentral:rRNA from 1 species